AAGGCGAACGGGGUUUUGGACCUUUGCGAAAACUUCUUCCUCGAAUUGACCGCUUUUGUGCCGUAUGAUUUCAACGUGGGCUCGAUCUUGAAUGACCGAUUCCAAGCAGUUCAGCUAUCUCCCAGGCUCUCCUCGACCAGACGGUGUAUUUGGCGGCAUUCCGGAAACGUUCUCAGAGCCGAGUGCGGGCUGGUAAGUGGCCUAAUAAGGCAGAUUUGCACUAAAUAUUAUUGUGGCGAUCAAUCUUACCCCAUCCGGCGUUUUCGUCUUGUCUGACACAUAACAUCCCUCUACCUUCCUGCAAGAGAGCCUUACUUAGCUCAUCCAUUAUCUUCCUGCAUGGACCCAACAGGCUGUCCAAAUGAAAGCGCAAACGUAUUCAAUUUUCUGAAGACGGGUUGGUUUAACGAAAUCCCGUGCAGAACGAUAAAUUGAACGGGAACUAUAAAAAUGGGUUCAGAAUUGCGGCCCCGUCCGUAAACGGUAAAGUUAUCUAGUUUAACCGCCAAGGCGAUUAGAACGUGAAACUGUCAGUUCACAUUUUAUUUUUAUUCGUUCCUGUUCUUGAUGUUGGGCAGCAGGAGAUCGGGGGAAAAAUGGG
rnacentral:sRNA from 1 species